rnacentral:rRNA from 2 species
UACGGAGGGUGCAAGCGUUGUCCGGAAUUACUGGGCGUAAAGAGCACGUAGGCGGUCUCUUAAGUCAGAUGUGAAAUAUGCCGGCUCAACCGGGAGGGUGCAUUUGAAACCGAAAGACUUGAGUAUUGGAGAGGCAAGUGGAAUUCCUAGUGUAGCGGUGAAAUGCGUAGAUAUUAGGAGGAACACCAGUGGCGAAGGCGGCUUUCUGGACUGUAACUGACGCUGAGGUGCGAAAGCCAGGGGAGCAAAC